GAACAGGCCGUCACAGAGGGUGAGAAUCCCGGGCGAUGAGAUGACCCGGGUCUGUGUAAAGUUCCUUCGACGAGUCGAGUCAUCAGGAACGCAGCUCUAAGUGGGUGGUAAAUUCCAUCUAAAGCUAAAUAUUGGCGAGAGACCGAUAGCGAACAAGUACCGUGAUGGAAAGAUGAAAAGAACUUUGAAAAGAGAGUGAAAAAGUACGUGAAAUUGUUGAAAGGGAAGGGCUUGAGAUCAGACUUGGUAUUUUGCAUGCUGCUCUCUCGGGGGCGUCCGCUGCGGUUUACCGGGCCAGCAUCGGUUUGGAGCGGCAGGAUAAUGGCGGAGGAAUGUGUCACGGCUUCUGCUGUGUGUUAUAGCCUCUGACGAUGCUGCCAGCCUAGACCGAGGACUGCGGUUCUACCUAGGA
rnacentral:rRNA from 1 species